GUAAGAAGUGCCUUUCGCCUCCCGCCAUGAUUCUGAGGCCUCCCCAGCCAUGUGGACCUGUUGUCGCUGCCCUCAGCCUCCAGAUGCAGCCCCCUGCCACCUUCAGGACCCGUGGCUCUCCCCUGGACUCAGUAGUGAAAGGGUUUAUGUGCUCGGAGGGAGUCCUUCAGGAAUCUGUGCAUAGAAUGCCAUAGUGCAGAGGAAACAGCCCCAGAAAAUGGAACAGCUGCUAAGUGAGACUCCUCAGCCAGGCCAGAGAAUGUGCAUUCUGACGGACUGCUUCUCAUUUGCACUGAUCACUGUCUUCUUUCUGAAAGCAGCCCAACUUUUCUCCCAGAGAGUAUCAUGGAACUGAACUUUCAAGAUCAUGGCAUCUGGACAUCGAGAAAACAGAACCCUCAUCUGGCCACCUGCUGCUUUUUGACCAAUUCCCAUAUAAACCGCUAACUUCAGUCAGUUGGAGGGAUGGAUUUGAGAUUUGCCUUCUGUCUCUCAGCUGAUGUCACCAGCAAUAAAGCCUUCUUCCCUGG
rnacentral:antisense_RNA from 1 species